rnacentral:misc_RNA from 1 species
UGAAUACCUGAAAUAACCGGUAUUGAUAUAAAAUAAAAACCCCGCUAUCUGGCGGGGUUUU